AGAGUUUGAUCCUGGCUNNNNNNNANCGCUGGCGGCGUGCUUAACACAUGCAAGUCACGGGGGCCCGCAAGGGUAACCGGCGAACGGGUGCGUAACACGUGAGCAAGCUUCCGAUUUGUGGGGGAUAGCCGGCCCAACGGCCGGGUAAUACCGCAUACGUUCACUGGACGGCAUCGUCUGGUGAGGAAACCUCCGGGGCAAAUCGAGGCGCUCGCGGCCUAUCAGCUAGUUGGCGGGGUAACGGCCCACCAAGGCGACGACGGGUAGCUGGUCUGAGAGGAUGGCCAGCCACAUUGGGACUGCGACACGGCCCAGACUCCUACGGGAGGCAACAGUGGGGAAUAUUGCGCAAUGGACGAAAGUCUGACGCAGCGACGCCGCGUGUGGGAUGAAGCCUUUCGGGGUGUAAACCACUGUUGCCCGGGACGAAACUCCUUUUUCGAGAGGAUUGACGGUACCGGGUGAGGAAGCACCGGCUAACUCUGUGCCAGCAGCCGCGGUAAUUC
rnacentral:rRNA from 1 species